AGUGAACGCUGGCGGUAGGCCUAACACAUGCAAGUCGAACGGCAGCACAGUAAGAGCUUGCUCUUACGGGUGGCGAGUGGCGGACGGGUGAGGAAUACAUCGGAAUCUACUUUUUCGUGGGGGAUAACGUAGGGAAACUUACGCUAAUACCGCAUACGACCUACGGGUGAAAGCAGGGGAUCUUCGGACCUUGCGCGAUUGAAUGAGCCGAUGUCGGAUUAGCUAGUUGGCGGGGUAAAGGCCCACCAAGGCGACGAUCCGUAGCUGGUCUGAGAGGAUGAUCAGCCACAAUGGAACUGAGACACGGUCCAGACUCCUACGGGAGGCAGCAGUGGGGAAUAUUGGACAAUGGGCGCAAGCCUGAUCCAGCCAUACCGCGUGGGUGAAGAAGGCCUUCGGGUUGUAAAGCCCUUUUGUUGGGAAAGAAAAGCAGCAGGUUAAUACCCCGCUGUUCUGACGGUACCCAAAGAAUAAGCACCGGCUAACUUCG
rnacentral:rRNA from 1 species